rnacentral:rRNA from 1 species
GAUGAACGCUAGCGGCAGGCUUAACACAUGCAAGUCGAGGGGUAUAGGUUUUCGGACCUAGAGACCGGCGCACGGGUGCGUAACGCGUAUGCAAUCUACCUUGUACAGGGGGAUAGCCCAGAGAAAUUUGGAUUAAUACCCCAUAGUAUUAUAGAAUGGCAUCAUGUUAUAAUUAAAGUUCCAACGGUAAAAGAUGAGCAUGCGUCCCAUUAGCUAGUUGGAAUGGUAACGGCACACCAAGGCUACGAUGGGUAGGGGUCCUGAGAGGGAGAUCCCCCACACUGGUACUGAGACACGGACCAGACUCCUACGGGAGGCAGCAGUGAGGAAUAUUGGUCAAUGGACGCAAGUCUGAACCAGCCAUGCCGCGUGCAGGAUGACGGUCCUAUUGAUUGUAAACUGCUUUUGUACAGGAAGAAACACUCCUACGUGUAGGAACUUGACGGUACUGUAAGAAUAAGGAUCGGCUAACUCCGUGCCAGCCGCCGCGGUAA